GUGCUUAACCAGCAAAAAUAUAUAUAUUUUGACAAUGGCUUGUAUGAAAUGGACCAGGAGCGUUUCUCAUGGUUCUCCUGCUUGUUUAGUGUUUUUUUGUUUCUUCACCAUAAGAUGAAGCUGAUUAAAGAAGCAAGUAGGACUCUACCUUCCUGCCUCACUGUACUCGCUUCUCAUAUACACAAAGAAAACGUAGUUGGACACAGACGUGAGCUCAUAGCACAAGAUGUUAAAAGCUGAGAGAACGGUCCGUAAUCUCAGCCGAGGAAAUGCAUCCAUGACUGCAGAUCCUGAGAGCCCGAGGCAGGCCUUGUGUUUUCACUUCCUCUCACUCCCACGUUUCUCCUCUAAUUCUCUCCCUCCAUUUUUCAUGCCUUUCUCCUUCUCCUCUUUCUUUGAAUAGCACUUUGUUUUAAAAUACUGAGAUUUUUUUUUUUUAAACACAAUUGGGUCCAGAAAAGCAUUAAAAUACAUCGACAUGUAAAUCCGUUUAUGAUCUUAUGGUUAAAGCUUCCUUGUCCUGGAGUCGAAAUAAAAAGUCGCUAGAUGUUCAACUGGA